GAGGGUGAUCGGCCACACUGGAAUUGAGACACGGUCCAGACUCCUACGGGAGGCAGCAGUAGGGAAUCUUCCGCAAUGGGCGAAAGCCUGACGGAGCAACGCCGCGUGAGUGAUGAAGGUCUUCGGAUCGUAAAACUCUGUUAUUAGGGAAGAACAUAUGUGUAAGUAACUGUGCACAUCUUGACGGUACCUAAUCAGAAAGCCACGGCUAACUACGUGCCAGCAGCCGCGGUAAUACGUAGGUGGCAAGCGUUAUCCGGAAUUAUUGGGCGUAAAGCGCGCGUAGGCGGUUUUUUAAGUCUGAUGUGAAAGCCCACGGCUCAACCGUGGAGGGUCAUUGGAAACUGGAAAACUUGAGUGCAGAAGAGGAAAGUGGAAUUCCAUGUGUAGCGGUGAAAUGCGCAGAGAUAUGGAGGAACACCAGUGGCGAAGGCGAUUUUCUGGUCUGUAACUGACGCUGAUGUGCGAAAGCGUGGGGAUCAAACAGGAUUAGAUACCCUGGUAGUCCGCGCCGUAAACGAUGAGUGCUAAGUGUUAGGGGGUUUCCGCCCCUUAGUGCU
rnacentral:rRNA from 1 species